rfam:Cricetulus griseus cell line CHO-K1, whole genome shotgun sequence.
UGGAAAGUUCAUUGUUCGACACCAUGGAUCUCCAGGUGGGUCACGUUUAGAGAUACACCAACCUGGAGGACUCCAUGCUGUUGAGCUGUUCACAA